AAAUCCAUGAGUUAGGAGAGGUACCAUGUUAAUGAAGGUGGUUUUCCUAGGGUGAGUCUCACCCUUGCCCCUCCUGAUAUGCUGACCCGUGCAAUUUCCGCAAAUCUGAGAAACUUGACUGCACAAUUUGUGGUAAUGGGGGACUGCAUUCACACUAUCCCCUG
ensembl:snRNA U1 U1 spliceosomal RNA